AACGAACGCUGGCGGCAGGCUUAACACAUGCAAGUCGAACGGGUGUAGCAAUACAUCAGUGGCGGACGGGUGAGUAACACGUGGGAACCUUCCUAGGGGUACGGAACAACUCAGGGAAACUUGAGCUAAUACCGUAUACGUCCGUGAGGAGAAAGAUUUAUCGCCCUUAGACGGGCCCGCGUCGGAUUAGGUAGUUGGUGGGGUAACGGCCUACCAAGCCGACGAUCCGUAGCUGAUCUGAGAGGAUGAUCAGCCACACUGGGACUGAGACACGGCCCAGACUCCUACGGGAGGCAGCAGUGGGGAAUCUUGGACAAUGGGCGCAAGCCUGAUCCAGCCAUGCCGCGUGAGUGGAGAAGGCCUUAGGGUUGUAAAGCUCUUUUACCAGGGACGAUAAUGACGGUACCUGGAGAAUAAGCCCCGGCAAACUUCGUGCCAGCCGCCGCAGUAAAAC
rnacentral:rRNA from 1 species